GACGAACGCUGGCGGCGCGCCUAACACAUGCAAGUCGAACGAAGAAAAGCUUUCGGGUUUUUCUUAGUGGCGGACGGGUGAGUAACACGUGAGCAACCUGCCUUUCAGAGGGGGAUAACAGUUGGAAACGACUGCUAAUACCGCAUAAGAUUGUAGCUUCGCAUGGAGCAGCAAUCAAAGGAGCGAUCCGCUGAAAGAUGGGCUCGCGGCCGAUUAGGUAGUUGGUGAGGUAAUGGCCCACCAAGCCCGCGAUCGGUAGCCGGACUGAGAGGUUGAUCGGCCACAUUGGGACUGAGACACGGCCCAGACUCCUACGGGAGGCAGCAGUGGGGAAUAUUGGGCAAUGGGGGAAACCCUGACCCAGCGACGCCGCGUGAGGGAAGAAGGUCUUCGGAUUGUAAACCUCUGUCUUCAGGGACGAACAAAUGACGGUACCUGAGGAGGAAGCCACGGCUAACUACGUG
rnacentral:rRNA from 1 species